rnacentral:rRNA from 1 species
GACGAACGCUGGCGGCGUGCCUAAUACAUGCAAGUCGAGCGAAUCUUUUGGGAGCUUGCUCCCGAAAGAUUAGCGGCGGACGGGUGAGUAACACGUGGGCAACCUGCCUAUAAGACUGGGAUAACUUCGGGAAACCGGAGCUAAUACCGGAUACGUUCUUUUCUCGCAUGAGAGAAGACGGAAAGACGGUCUCGGCUGUCACUUAUAGAUGGGCCCGCGGCGCAUUAGCUAGUUGGUGGGGUAAUGGCUCACCAAGGCGACGAUGCGUAGCCGACCUGAGAGGGUGAUCCGCCACACUGGGACUGAGACACGGCCCAGACUACUACGGGAGGCAGCAGUAGGGAAUCGUCCGCAAUGGACGAAAGUCUGACGGAGCAACGCCGCGUGAACGAAGAAGGCCUUCGGGUCGUAAAGUUCUGUUGUUAGGGAAGAACAAGUACCAGAGUAACUGCUGGUACCUUGACGGUACCUAACCAGAAAGCCACGGCUAACUACGUGCCAGCCGCCGCAGUAACAC